AUGAGCUUGAGCAAAGAGCAGGAUGAGGCAGAGGUGAAAUUUGAGGAGGCACUUCGAGAACACUGCAUUACAAUUUCAACAUGAAAACAGCAUUACAAUUUCAACAUGUAGCUCGCUGAUCAGAAGGAGCGAGCUGCAAAGCGACAGUCACCUGCUCCUGCCACUGGCCUUGCCCCUGUCCAAUGGAUAGAGAGGGACAGCAAAGGAAACAUAAUUCACCAAAGACCCAGACAUAAAAAGCUGUAACGGUAGAUUUCCUCCUCGUCGUCGUCUGAAGAGGUGUAGCAAGGAUCGGGCCAAUACGCAGCACGCCAACCUUCAGGAUAGUCAGACAGGGCAUCUCCAGAAGAAGAUUGAGGGGCUUUACCUCAGUGUGAACCAGAGGAAACACUACCUCUACUGUUUGACAGACGGCAACAAGAGAAGGCAUCAGAUUCUGAGAAAAAUUGUUGAGGACAAGGCAGCCUUGACAGCUGCCAUUGUUCAACUUCCCACACAGUAGGCAGAGUUUAGGCUCCCCACAGUGGAUGAGCUGCUCAAUACUGACAACUUUUUGUGGCCAUGGGAGAGACCUAGCACCAGUAAGUAUAUGAUUACAGAAGGUACAGUAUCUAUUGUGACUGAAAUUUUACCUUCAGUGUAGGCUGCAAUCAUUGCUGUUGUUCUACUAUAUACCUCUGUGAGUUUACAUCUCACAGGCAACAGCCAUCUUGCCAUCAAAAAGGCAAUCUUCAACAGACUGAUGUUGGUGAACAGACUGCAGGAGGAAGAGAGGGUCCUGGUGCAGGAGAUGAAGAGGCACUGGGGAGCCUACAAAGUACAGGGGGAACUCUGGAGGCACUGUCCGUACAGUUGCAAGAUCAGAGCAAUGCAGUGGAGUUGUCAGAGGGAGGGAGGAAUGGCCUUCUCUUCCUCCUGAAGAGAAGAUUGAGUGAACUGACACAAGAACAAGACAACACCAGGAACAACUACCAAAAGCUGAUUCUGGGAGAAGGGGCUAUUUUAAUGACUCUGAUGCAAAUGAAAACUCAGAUGAAGAUAGAAGUCCUAUUACUGAGAGCUCAGAUGGCGACUGCUAUGCUUUCUGAAAUCAUACACCACCCCGGCCUCUUUCUCUCGGACUCUCUCUCUCCCGCAGGAGAGGGGGAAGGCUGCCACCACCUCCCUCAUGAGCAGCCAGGGUUCCGACAUUGACCCCUGACCCCUUAUCUUCUGAACGCAUCCAGGGAAAUGUAUUUUGCCUGAUGAUGGUCUAGUGGAGAUUUGUUGCCAUGUUUCCUCUCCUCACCUCCUCCCCUUCCGGUCCUAGACUAUGGCGACAUCAUCAGCAACUCAGAAUGUUGGUUGAGGAUCUCUUUACUGAGGAAUGUGGUUGUUCUUCAUGAUUAAAAAUAUCUAUAUAUUUUCUAUGCUACUGGGAUUGUGAUUUUUUUGUGUAAUUUUGAGUUGCAAAAGAGUCCUAGGUCUCAAUGGGUCUGCUAAAAUAAAUAAAGUAAAGGUCUUGAUAAAUAAAUGCAUUAAGCAC
ensembl:lncRNA